rnacentral:rRNA from 1 species
AUUGAACGCUGGCGGAAUGCUUUACACAUGCAAGUCGAACGGCAGCACGGACUUCGGUCUGGUGGCAAGUGGCGAACGGGUGAGUAAUGUAUCGGAACGUGCCCAGUCGUGGGGGAUAACGUAGUGAAAAUUACGCUAAUACCGCAUACGAUCUAUGGAUGAAAGCGGGGGAUCGCAAGACCUCGCGCGAUUGGAGCGGCCGAUAUCAGAUUAGGUAGUUGGUGGGGUAAAGGCCCACCAAGCCAACGAUCUGUAGCUGGUCUGAGAGGACGACCAGCCACACUGGAACUGAGACACGGUCCAGACUCCUACGGGAGGCAGCAGUGGGGAAUUUUGGACAAUGGGCGAAAGCCUGAUCCAGCCAUUCCGCGUGCAGGAUGAAGGCCCUCGGGUUGUAAGCUGCUUUUGUACGGAACGAAAAGGUUUCUACUAAUACUAGGAGCUCAUGACGGUACUGUAAGAAUAAGCACCGGCUAACUACGUGCCAGCCGCCGCGGUAA